GGCGAGCGUUAUCCGGAAUGAUUGGGCGUAAAGGGUGCGUAGGUGGCAGAUCAAGUCUGGAGUAAAAGGUAUGGGCUCAACCCGUACUGGCUCUGGAAACUGAUCAGCUAGAGAACAGAAGAGGACGGCGGAACUCCAUGUGUAGCGGUAAAAUGCGUAGAUAUAUGGAAGAACACCGGUGGCGAAGGCGGCCGUCUGGUCUGGAUUCUGACACUGAAGCACGAAAGCGUGGGGAGCAAAUAGGAUUAGAUACCCUAGUAGUCCACGCCGUAAACGAUGGGAACUAGGUGUUGGGGGAAUAAUUCAGUGCCGCAGUUAACGCAGUAAGUUCUCCGCCUGGGGAGUAUGCACGCAAGUGUGAAACUCAAAGGAAUUGACGGGGGCCCGCACAAGCGGUGGAGUAUGUGGUUUAAUUCGAAGCAACGCGAAGAACCUUACCAGGCCUUGACAUCCCUUGCAGAGGUAUAGAGAUAUAUCCGAGGUUAUCAAGGAGACAGGUGGUGCAUGGUU
rnacentral:rRNA from 1 species